AAAAUGAAGUUUUCGGAUGGAUUUUUAAUUGACUGAGUGGCGGACGGGUGAGUAACGCGUGGAUAACCUGCCUCACACUGGGGGAUAACAGUUAGAAAUGACUGCUAAUACCGCAUAAGCGCACAGUACCGCAUGGUACGGUGUGAAAAACUCCGGUGGUGUGAGAUGGAUCCGCGUCUGAUUAGCCAGUUGGCGGGGUAACGGCCCACCAAAGCGACGAUCAGUAGCCGACCUGAGAGGGUGACCGGCCACAUUGGGACUGAGACACGGCCCAAACUCCUACGGGAGGCAGCAGUGGGGAAUAUUGCACAAUGGGCGAAAGCCUGAUGCAGCGACGCCGCGUGAGUGAAGAAGUAUUUCGGUAUGUAAAGCUCUAUCAGCAGGGAAGAAAAUGACGGUACCUGACUAAGAAGCCCCGGCUAACUACGUGCCAGCAGCCGCGGUAAUACGUAGGGGGCAAGCGUUAUCCGGAUUUACUGGGUGUAAAGGGAGCGUAGACGGCGAAGCAAGUCUGAAGUGAAAACCCAGGGCUCAACCCUGGGACUGCUUUGGAAACUGUUUUGCUAGAGUGUCGGAAAGGUAAGUGGAAUUCCU
rnacentral:rRNA from 1 species